rnacentral:rRNA from 1 species
GACGAACGCUGGCGGCGUGCUUAACACAUGCAAGUCGAGCGGUAAGGCCCUUUCGGGGGUACGACGAGCGGCGAACGGGUGAGUAACACGUGGGUGACCUGCCCUCAGCUCUGGGAUAAGCCUGGGAAACCGGGUCUAAUACCGGAUAUGACUCCAUGACGCAUGUUGGUGGGGUGGAAAGCCUUGUGCGGCUGAGGAUGGGCCCGCGGCCUAUCAGCUUGUUGGUGGGGUGAUGGCCUACCAAGGCGACGACGGGUAGCCGGCCUGAGAGGGCGACCGGCCACACUGGGACUGAGACACGGCCCAGACUCCUACGGGAGGCAGCAGUGGGGAAUCUUGCGCAAUGGGCGAAAGCCUGACGCAGCGACGCCGCGUGAGGGAUGACGG